rnacentral:rRNA from 1 species
UACAGAGGGGGCAAGCGUUGUUCGGAACUACUGGGCGUAAAGGGCGCGUAGGCGGCCCGCUAAGUCGAACGUGAAAUCCCCGAGCUCAACUCGGGAACUGCGUCCGAUACUGGCGGGCUUGAAUCCGGGAGAGGGGUGCGGAAUUCCAGGUGUAGCGGUGAAAUGCGUAGAUAUCAGGAGGAACACCGAUGGCGAAGGCAGCUGCCUGGCAUGACACUGACGCUGAGGUGCGAAAGCGUGGGGAGCGAACGGG